CAUUAAUCCUCUAUGACUGAAUCCCCAUAGUAUACAAUUUAUUUCUCCAUGGGCAACAAGACAUGCCAGCAACUGCACGGCUACUUCUCCAUUUAGCCAGACAGAGAAUAAAGGGUCCCUGUAUUCAUGCCUUCCUGGAAAUCUCAGUGCAAGGCCCUAUCAGGAGGUUUCCUGGAGCAGCUAAGGGAACAGCUAGACCACCCAGGAAGAAAUGACAGAAGCCUACCUGACUUCCAAUCUGCUUGCUUCAUGGUGUAAUGGGGGCCUAGACAGAAGCACCCCAAGGACACUUACAACAACUGUUCUGCCAGCUCUAGUCCAUUGGAGAAGAUGUGCCAACAUACCUUCUCACCAUCCCUAGAGCCCAACCUUGCUAUGGAAAGGUCAAACCCUUACCAUUGGCCCUGCCAAGGAUCCCCAGACAGAGAAGCACAAUGGAGGCCAUAAAUUAUGGCUUCUUAUCAUGGCCUCCACAUAACUUAAACUCUGGAUGGUGAAUGAAAUCUGGGGCCAAGUCUUAAAGGGUCAGGGUAGCCAAUGAGCAUAACUCAAUAUUUGUGUUUCUAAGAGAAAACCACAGAACCUCCAUAUCCAUGGCAAACUGGCCAGCCACAGGCUGGAUCCAGUGUGCAGUAGUGUUUUGUGUACACCAUUCACUAUUUGUCUACUUGGGUUAAAAAUGUUUUAUAUUAGUUAGCAAUGUUUAAACAUUGGGAGAAUUAAAGGGAAAUGAAAACGUACUUCCCACAAAUACUUGCACAUAAAUAUUCACAGCAGCAUUGUUUAUAAUUGCCCAAAACUAGAAACAACCCAAAUAUCCAUCAACUGAUGAAUGAUAAACAAGUUGUGGUAUAUUCAUCCAAUAAAACAAUAUUCAGCAAUAAAAAUAAACAAAUCAGGCACUUAAUAUAAUUGAAUAUCAAGGUCAUUAUGUUGAGUGAAAGAGGCCAGAAAAUAAAAGUAUACACUAUUUGAUUCCAUUUAUAUAAUAUUCUAGAAAAUGAAAACCAGUCUAUACUUACAGAAAACAAGGUGGUAGCUUACAGAGAUGGGGUAGAGGGAGGGAGAGAUGACAGAGAGGCAUAAAAAAACUUUCCGGACAAUGAAAAUGUUCUGUAUUUUAAUUGUGGUGAUGGUUUCAUGGAUGUACAAGUUCAUCAAAUCUCAUCAAGUUAAAUAUAUGCAUUUAUUUUAUAUUAAGUGUACCUCAAUAAAGCAGAAAAAUUUAAAAUUGGUAAUAUUUAUAUACAAAUUGAGAUAUCUAUAUUUCUUGAAAAUCAAAAUGUCUGACAUCAUUUGGUCUACAUAUUUAUCUGCCAAAAAUACAGGAGAUAGACAGUAGCUGUCCUUUAAAAAAAACAUACAGCCAGGAAGAAGUAUAGACAGUUCCAGAGCUAAAAUGUUAGCCAUGGAUCCCAGGAAGUCCUCACUGAAAGGUGACUUUGGGAGGAAACCUGUAGAAGGUGAGGAAUUGAGCUAUGCAUAUAACCCAGGGAAGAGCAUUCUAGACAGACAUGACAGUCCAUGAGAAGAUUCUAGGCAAGGGAGGUAGCCCAGGGUCUUCAACCAACAGCAAGGAGGCUAAUCUAGCUUGGCACAGAGUAACAAGAGAUGAGAUCAGAGAAAUAACAGGGUAGAGAUGGUGUGGAGUCUUAUAGAUUAUUGAAGGGAGUUUGUCAUUUACUGGAUGAAAUAGGAAGCCUUUGGAGGGUGUUGUUAAUUGUAAUCAUGAUAGGGUUAUUACUUUUCUUAUAGUAGAGUUCAAAAGAAAGGAAAACUUAUUUUUGUAACCAGGUCAUUAACCUGGCCCCUGUAGACAUCUGAGUUUGUAAUUUCUGUCAUAUUUUAUCUAAAUAUCAUGAUAGAGAACAAAAUAUCUGACUGGUUCUGUACUGAUAGGCAGUCAGUCAUGCUGGCUAACUUUCAGAAAUAUGCCAUGUUUGGUGGUCUCCUUUCUCUCUGUUUUCUCUAGGUUGAAUAUGGGGAUUCAACCACAUCACUUCACUCUCUCACCCCUUAUAGCACACGCUUCUCUCCCUUUCCUUGGCAUCCCCUGGCCCUAUCAUGACCUGAGGUCUUCCCUACCACUUUGGGGGCUCCCAUCUAAAAAUGCAUUCUAAGUCCUCUACCUGGAACUAAUUUAUCUCCAGGUCUACACUACUGAUAACAAGAUAUACGAUCCCUUGCAAAGGAACUUGUAACACCCUGAAAUUACUCAGAAAUCACACCUCACAGGAGAUUGAGACCAUCCUGGCUAACACGGUGAAACCCCGUCUCUACUAAAAAUACAAAAAAUUAGCCAGGCGUGGUGGUGGGCGCCUGUAGUCCCAGCUACUCAGGAGGCUGAGGCAGGAGAAUGGCAUGAACCCAGGAGGAGGACCUUGCAGUGAGCCGAGAUCGCGCCACUGCACUCCAGCCCGGGCGACAGAGCAAGACUCCGUCUCAAAAAAAAAAAAAAAAAAAGAAAGAAAAGAAAUCACACCUCACAGGCAAACUCUGUAAGUGGGCUCCUGUAGGAAAGCAGCCUGUUGCAUGGCAAGAAAAAUGCCAUCUUGAAGUGAAAUCGUCAUUAAUUCCUGCAUAUCCAGGCAUUCCCACAGCAAGGUCAAGAAACAAUGCCUAUAUCAUAGAUAACUUCUCAUAAAGAUGCUUCUCUAACUUCCCCAGUGGUCAUGAAUGUCAUAAGAGGGUCUGAGACGUGACCAGCAGCGCAUGUCUUACCAAAAAAAAAAGCUUGCUACAGAAAGGAUAUUUUCUGGAGUGCCGAGUGUGGGGAUCCAUCAUCUUGUGGCUACCCAAAGCAUGGCUUCUGUUUGUUACGUCCCUACUAAAUGUUUCUUUCUGGGAAACUGAAUUUGUCAGCCUCUUUCUUUGGCCUGUCAGCUCUCUUGGCUUUCGGGGGUAGAUCUGCAUAUACCUACUCACCCAGAACAUUUGGUGAGUCAGUCAGGAGCUAAGAGGCCAAGAGACAGGAAAGGGGAAUGAAGCAUCUGUACGGGAAAUCCCAGGCCAGCCACGUCUAUGUGGGAUGGUGUGGCACGUCUGUUAGAUGCAUUUGGACUCUGUGUGACUAUGGAGACACCCUGAACAAGCUGGUUGGCCUAGAGUGGUUAUUAACUGAAAGGCAUAUGGUGCAGUGUGGUAAGGAAGGGCAGUGGAUAGCCACUGCAGUGGGUUGGCUGCUUCUGUGGGCCAUUUGUUUGUCAACACAGGUUUAGCUAGCAAUAGAAAUGAAAAGCAAAUGGCUAGAGGAAAAUUGCACCAACCUGAUAGAAAAGGACAUGUGCCUUUUCACUUCUCUGAUUGCGUCCAGUGUAGCUACAUGUUUUACCAAAAAAAAAAAGAAAAAAAAAAAGCCUGCUAUAGAAAGAAUAUUUCAGGAGGGUAGGUGUGGAAAUCUAUGGUCUCUCAGCUGCCCAAGGCAUUGCUUCUGUUCAUAGGUUCCUAUCAAAUGUUUCUUUCUGAGAAACUGGAUUUGUCAGCCUCUUUUCUCUGGCUUCCCAGCUUCCUUGGCCUUUGAGGGGGAGACCUGCAUAUAUCUGUUCACUGCAGAACAGCCCCAUACAUGAAAUGAAUUUUGAGAUUAGAGGAAGAAGUUUCAUUUAUAAGCCCAAAGCAAACAAUUAGGAAAAAAAAUUAUGCUCAGGAAGUUAGGGACUAAGAACUAACCUAAUUACAGGGCUAAAGAAGGAAAUUUGGCCAAAAUAAUCUGACAGAAUGCAAUUUCAACAAAGGCAAAUUAAACCAAGGUAAGUCACUCCAUGUACAUUUGUGUCUAAAUUAAUAUCCCUAGUCACAAAUAACAACUUAAACUUAUAGAAGUAGUUGAUGAAACCAGCUGACACAGAGAGCCAUGUAUCAAUCUUGAUUAUAGAACCUUCUGGAGAUCAUGGUUAUUUCAAAAUAUAUGGACACUGAGGGUGCAUCAAAAGGGCUAAAAGAUUAUGGCUAGAAGAUAAAAUAGAUGUGUCUCUCUAUUCCUUUCUCUAGAUAUAGCUAAAAUCUCUGGACAUCAUACAUAAACAUAAAAAUACUCGGAAAGGUGGAGACAAAAAAACAGGUCAGUUAGGGACUUUGAAACCUUAAAAAACAGCAUGGCACUGAGGUCUCUAGAUUUCCUCGUGCCUUAUAUAUUUCAUACUGGAUGCUAGAGAAGCCUGCAACCCAAAAUACCAACAUACACUGAUAAAAGAAAAAAAAGCCCCAAGAAAACCAAGGAAGGGUCAAAGGGUCAGCCUAGUGAAAAAGAAAAAAUCAUCUAAUUAAUUCAAUUUUUAAAAAAUAAUUUCAACUUUUAUUUUAGAUUCAAGGAAUAAAUGUGUAGGUUUGUUUCCUGGGUAUACUGUAUGAUGCUGAGGUUUGGGGUAUGAUUGACCCUGUCACCCAGACAGUGAUCAUAGUACCCAAUAGCUUUUCAACCCUUGCCCUCCCCCUUCCCUUGCCCCUUUAGCGGUCUCCAGUGUCUAUUGUUUCCAUAUUUAUGUCCAUGAGUAUCCACUGUUUAGCUCCAACUUAUAAGUGAAAAGAUGUGGUAUUUGUUUUUCUGUUUCUGUAUUGAUUAGCUUAUGAUAUGGUUAGGCUCUGUGUCCCCACCCAAAUCUCAUCUUGAAUUUUAAUCCCCAUAAUCCCCAUAUGUUGAGGGUGGAACAGGUGCAGAUAAUUGAAUCAUAGGGGCAGUUUCCUCUAUGCUGUUCUUAUGAUAAUGAGUGAGUUUUCAUGAGAUCCAAUGGUUUUAUAAGGGGCUUCCCCUCUUCACUUGGCACUCACUCCAUCCUGCCACCCUAUGAAGAAGGUGCAUGCUUUUCCUUUGCCUUCUGCCAUGAUUGUAAGUUUCCUGAGGCCUCCCCAGCAAUACGGAACUGUGAGUUAAUUAAAUCUCUUUCCUUUAUAAAUUACCAAGUCUCAGGUAUUUCUUCAUAGCAGCAUGAGAAUGGACUAAUACAGCUUAGGAUAAUGGCCUUCAGCUGCAUCCAUGUUGCUACAAAGGACAUGAUUUUCUUCCUUUCUAUGGCUACAUAGUAUCCUACGGUACAUAUAUACCACACUUUCUUUAUGCAGUCCACCAUUGACGGGCACCUAGGUUGAUUCUGUGUCUUUGCUAUUAUGAAUACUGCUACAAUGUACAAACAAGUACAUGUGUCUUUUCGGUAGAAUAAUUUAUUUUCUUUUGAAUAUAUACCCAGUAAUGAGAUUGCUGGGUCAAGUGGUAGUUCUAAGUUCCUUGAGAAAUCUCCAAAGUGCAGAAAUAAAAUUUUUGACAAUAACCACCCAACUCCAGCCAAACAUUAGGAGGAAAACUGUAGCCCUGUCCUGAUCCCAUCAGCAAAGGCCAAGUGGGAACGCUAUACUUCCACCUUUACCCAGAUGUAAUGAGGUGCUCUCUUUCCUCCUGAGAGUGCCAAUGAAAGCUGCACUGGGAACCUAAACCUCUACCCCCAUGUGGCAGUUAUGGGGCAGCACUUUCCUUUCCAUGCUGAUGUGGUUUCAGAUGAGGCUUGCUGAAACAGAAAAUUUAAACAAGAUCCAGAGUCUUCUGACUUAAUGCCUCAAAUGUCCACAAUAUUAAAGUUUACUCAUCACACCAAAAACCAAAAAAAAACUCAAUGUGAAUGAGAAAAGACAAUAACCAGAUGCUGUCUUAGUCUAUUUUGUGCUGCUACAGCUGAUCACCGACUGGGUAAUUUAUAAUAAACAGAAAUUUAUUGGCUCAUGGUUCCAGAGGCAGGGAAAUCCAAGAUCAAGAGGCCAGCAUCUGGCGAGGGCUUUCUUGCUAUGUCAUCCCAUGGUGGAAGAGCAAAGAGAGAAUAAGAGAGGGAGAGUAAGAAAGGAGAGGGGCAGAAAGAGAGGGCUGAACUUGUUUAAUUAAAAAAACAAACCCACUCCCAUAAUAAUGAACCCAGUCCAGUGAUGACAGCAUUAAUC
rnacentral:lncRNA from 10 species